GACGUAGGGCGCGAGCGUUGUCCGGAUUUAUUGGGCGUAAAGAGCUCGUAGGCGGCUUGUCGCGUCGAAUGUGAAAUCUCAGGGCUCAACUCUGACAUUGCAUUCGAUACGGGCAGGCUAGAGUUCGGUAGGGGAGACUGGAAUUCCUGGUGUAGCGGUGAAAUGCGCAGAUAUCAGGAGGAACACCGGUGGCGAAGGCGGGUCUCUGGGCCGAUAUUGACGCUGGGGAGCGAAAGCGUGGGGAGCGAACAGG
rnacentral:rRNA from 1 species